AAAAGGUAGAGGCUCCUAUACCAAGCAUCCCGCCACAAUGAUCCUUUUUGGCAAGCUGUUCCUUAUGUGGUUGAAUGGGAAGAAGCCAUGAACUAUAAAUAGCUCUUCAGUUGGGGAUGGAGGCUCCUGAAUUUCUUCCUAUUCUAUGCUGGAAUAUUGACUGCCUUGAUCAUGAACAGACCCUUUGCAGAAAGAAGAGUCCUUUAUGAGAAGGAAAUGUGGCAGCGAAGGGACCGUAUGAUGGCAGGAGUACAAAGCCAGGAGACCGAAUCUCCAACAGAAGCACAAAGUACAAAGCAAACUGAGAAUGGGGUAAGGUUUAAACACUUACAGCUAUGCUAAGUGCUAUCUUUAUUUCAACAGAGUUGCAGAACCCAGCAAUAUACUCAAGCAGGAUCAUGAACUGGGGACCAAGUAGUCCAAUGCCUACACCUAUGGGAGACAUUUCUCACUUAAACUGCCACAUUCCAAAACCUGAACCCUCCCAUUAGGAUCAUGUCCAUAUCAAUAAUAAAACACACUUAAUCACACUUCAAAAUUCUACAAAAUCUUUCAGUCUCAAAGCUAUUUAAGUCUUCCAUGUCUAAAGUUUCUUUACAGACUCAGGCCAAUCUCUCAAUCAUUAACCUGUAUAAAAUGAAGUAAAAAAAGCCAAUCACAUACUCUCA